rnacentral:rRNA from 1 species
AGCGAACGCUGGCGGCAGGCUUAACACAUGCAAGUCGAACGCCCCGCAAGGGGAGUGGCAGACGGGUGAGGAACACGUGGGAACGUACCCUUCGGUUCGGAAUAACUCAGGGAAACUUGUGCUAAUACCGGAUACGUCCGAAAGGAGAAAGAUUUAUCGCCGAAGGAUCGGCCCGCGUCUGAUUAGCUUGGUGGUGAGGUAACGGCUCACCAAGGCGACGAUCAGUAGCUGGUCUGAGAGGAUGAUCAGCCACACUGGGACUGAGACACGGCCCAGACUCCUACGGGAGGCAGCAGUGGGGAAUAUUGGACAAUGGGGGCAACCCUGAUCCAGCCAUGCCGCGUGAGUGAUGAAGGCCUUAGGGUUGUAAAGCUCUUUUGUCCGGGAAGAUAAUGACGGUACCGGAAGAAUAAGCCCCGGCUAACUUCGUGCCAGCAGCCGCGGUAA